rnacentral:tRNA from 1 species
UAGCUCAGUCAGUUGAGCGUAGCGCUAACAAUGCUAAGGUCGCGGGUUCGAUUCCCGU